UGGGUUUGAUCCUGGCUCAGAAUGAACGCUUGCAAUAUACUUAACACAUGCUAGUCGAAUGUUUUCAUAAACAUGGCGUACAGGUGAGUAACACGUAAGAAUCUACCUUAUAGAUUGGACAAGAUUGGUUUAAAUUUACCAAAAUUUAAACCAUACGAAUUCCAAAUAGCCGUUAGCGAAAGGAUUAUUUAAAUAAUUCGCUAUAAGAUGAGCUUGCGCAAGAUUAUGGUAGAUGGUGGGGUAAAAGCUUACCAUGCCUUUGAUCUUUAGUUGGUUUGAGAGGAUGAUCAGCCACACUGGGACUGAGAUAAGGCCCAGGCAUAUGCCAGCAGUGGGGAAUAUUGGACAAUAAGCGAAAGCUGGAUCCAGUAAUAUUGCGUUAGUGAGGACAGCACUAAAGAUUUGGUGGCACUGCCACCAAAUUGGCUGUAAAACUAUUUCGUUAGUGAGGAUUAUGACUGUAACUAAAGGAGAAAUUCCGGCCAACUUCGUGCCAGCAGCCGCGGUAAUACGAAGGGAGUUAGCGUUAUUCAUAUUGAUUGGGCGUAAAGGGUUCGUAGAUUGAUAAUUUAAUCUCUGGUAAAAGUUUAAAUAAAAUUAAAAGUGCCUUAGACAUUAAUUAUCUAGAGUGAGUUAGAGGACAGUAGAAUUUUGUAAGUAGGAGUAAAAUCCAUUGAUAUACAAAGGAAUGCCAUCGGCGAAAGCGACUGUCUGGGAUAUCACUGACAUUGAGGAACGAAAGCGUAGGGAGCAAACGGGUUUAGAUACCCCGGUAGUCUACGCUGUCAAAGAUGAAUGCUAACAUUUGGUAUGAGCUAAAUGUAAAGUUAACACGUUAAGCAUUCCGCCUGGGGAGUACGAUCGCAAGAUUGAAACUCAAAGGAAUUGACGGGGAUCUACACAAGUGGUGGAGCAUGUGGUUUAAUGCGAUAAUACACGCGAAACCUUACCAGUUCUUGAAUACAAAUAAAGUUUUAUUAGCCCUAAAAGCCUUUUAAGAUAUUAAAUUUUACAUAUAAUUGUACAGGUGUUGCAUGGCUGUCGUCAGCUCGUGCCGUGAGGUGUUUGGUUAAGUCCUUUAACGAGCGCAACUCUUAUUUUAUAUUAUAAGUACUAUUGUUGAAUAAAUAAUAGUGCAAUGUUAUAAAAAACUGCUGGUGACAAACUAGAGGAAGGUGAGAACGACGUCAAGCCCUUAUGGCCCUUAUGAACUGGGCUACACACGUGCUACAAAGAUAAUUACAAUAAGUUAUACAAUAAAGUGAUUUAGAGUCAAUCUGCUAAAGAUUAGAUCGGAAGAGCGUCGUGUAGGGAAAGAGUGUAGAUCUCGGUGGU
rnacentral:rRNA from 1 species